GCAGUGAGUUUGUCCUCAUCUCAUGGGAUACAUUGGAACAUGGAUCACAUGCCUGAGAACGAAAGGAAAGGACACACAGCAGCCUGGGAAAGGAAACAGACGUCCAGAGGCUCAGUGGCUGUCAUUGCGAAAGAAUAUUCCCACUCUUAUUAACGUCAAGAGUUUCUGUGACUGCGUGCGUCUUUCUCACAGCACAGGCUCUCUAGACACUUCAACUGAUCUUCCAGCGUAAGCAGGUAAUGCAAUCUGAGGGGCUGCUCCAAAGGCAAGGUUCUCUGCUUUUCUCAGAAUUCUGCAGGGAUGGAGAGAAGCGAGUCCUCUGUGAUUUCUGCCUGUUUCAUCACGUGUUUAGCGUUCGCAGGCUUGGUGGGAAUGGGGAAGGCCUGGUUGGCGCCAGAAAAGUGUAGGAGACUUCCAUGUGACAAAGUCACUUUUGAUGCCACUGUUUAUGAAUCUUGUGUUGAGCCGUUCACUCAGACCAUGGCAAACACUGACUACAAACUCAGAUGUCCCUGGCCAAGCACUAGAAGGUGAGACACUGGGUGAUUAUAUUGGCUUCACAAAGCUAAAAUACUGUAUUAAAUACUUUCUGACUUCUCCUAGAGCUUUCAAAGUGGAUUAUUAUUAAAGGGGUCAUAUGAUGCGAUUUCAAGUUUUCCUUUCUCUUUGGAGUGUUACAAGCUGUUCGUGAAUAGAUAAGAUCCCUAAAGUUGCAAAGACUAAAGUCUCAAACCCAAAGAGAUAUUCUUUAUUAAAGUUAAGACUCGUCCACACCCUCCUAAAAUGGCUCGUUUAAACACGCCCCCACAUGUCUACGUCACAAUGUGGGAAGAUUUGCAUAAUGCUGCCCAAAUAUUCACGCAAAGAAAGAAGGCAAAACUUGUUGCUGCCAGCGCCAUGUCGUGGAGACGCUAUUUUGUUGUGAAAGCAAAAAUACUUUGUUUGGCCUUCCAAAAGAAGACACAAUUAGAAAUCAGUGGUUAAGUUGUAUUUACAACACUGUUUGGAAACCGUUCAACCCAGAUAUUCAGAAGUGUGCAACGCAUUUUAUGGAGGACUGUUUCCUGGUCCUGGGAGAGAAG
ensembl:lncRNA